rnacentral:lncRNA from 1 species
ACUCGCGCGAUCUAGAGUCGACUCGGCUGUAGCAGGAGUCGACUCAUGCUUUUCUGGAGUCGGCUCGGCAACUGUUCCGGAUUUGAAUUAAAGUGAGCUUCUCGACUGGGAGUCGACUCGACUUAACCCGGAGUUGACUCCCCAAAAUCUGGAGCUGACCUUGCACUUUUGGAGUCGGCUUAUUUCAUGGAAUCCAUAGAGCUAUUCUUCAACUUGGCUCACUCGAGUCGACUCGGAAAUUCUGGGAGUCGACUCGGCGCUCAGAGCCCGAAUUUCCGAUCUUCUGUCUUUUGGCUCAUCCAGUCUUGGAGUCGACUCGAACUGUUCCGGAGUCGACUUGGCUCUCAGUUUCCGAAACACAGCCUCUCUGACUUUUUGUCUGUAACUCCCUGGAGUCGACUCAUACUUCUUCGGAGUCGACUCGGCAAGCUUCGGAGUCGACUCGCGCACUUCAGGAGUCGACUCACUGACAGGUUUUGAAUUGAGUCUUUCUGUUCAUCUGUCUGUUCUCAGUCGGAGUCGACUCGUGAUGUUCCGGAGUCGACUCGAGCCUGUGCCAAUGCUUCUGAUACACUUGGAGUCGACUCGUAAUAUCCCGGAGUCGACUCGAAUCUCAGACUUUGGUUCAACAUGACUUCUUAACUUAUCCAAAAUAUCUUGAACCAAAACCAGAUGCACUUAACCAUAAAUUUAUAAGAUUUUCACUGAAACACUAGAUUGAAUUCAUUAGUAAGCAUAAGAUAUACUCAAAUGCUUUGAGCUCAUCAAAAUCAAAUAGGAUUUUAAUCAAUCACUCCACAAUCUCCCCCUUUUUGAUGAUGACAAAACAUUGAGUAUAUGUAAAGUGAAUUGCACAACAAACACGGAAAUAAAAUCUAUAGAUGAAUUCAAU